AGUUAACCUCAGAAGAAGAAUAUCUUGAUCAGAAACUGACAGUCUAUUUGUGAUAAGGUAAAUAGACAAAAGGGAAACAGCCCAGAUCAUAAAUUAAGGUCCCUAAUAAAUAUUUAGUGAACAUAAGAAGGUCUUUUAUCUAAUACAACUACAAAGUAAGCUUGGAAGUAGCUACCUUUUAAUGAAAGUGUAACAACUCAAUAGUCUAAUGGAUAAAAGGCAUCGAAGAUUAACGGGUCUGAAAUAUUUAACCUACAUUAUGGUAUAUAUACAUUUUUAUUUUUCAUAUAGAAAUGUAUAUGUAGGUAGCAGAACACUUAGUAUGAGAGUGAAGAAGUGUAUGAAUACAUUUUGGACUAUACUAAAGAGAGAAUGCUGGCAUGAGUAACGAUUAAGAAGUUAAAAUACUUCUCGCCGAACACGAAAGGGUUUUAUGGAAAAGGUAAUCUGCCAUAAUUUAUACGGUUUCUAAGGAAAAUAAACGAAUUGUUAUUUUCUGAUGAAGAAUAGAAAUCAUAGAGAAAGAAUCUUUCUUCUAGAAAAAGAUUUCUACUAUUGAUAGUAACCGUACCUGAAACCGACACAGGUUCGUGGGUAGAGUAUACUAAGGCGUAGAGAUAAGGCUAGUGAAGGAACUCGGCAAAAUGCUUCUGUAAGUUCGACGAUAAAGAAGAAGUUAUAAUUUAGAAUCAUUUUAUGAUUCUUUUAUAACUUGUCACAAAAGUGAGGGCUUCGACUGUUUACUAAAAACAUAGCAACUUGCUAAGACGAAAAGUACUUGUAUAAGUUGUGAACUCUGUCCAAUGCCAUUUGUUUAAGGAAGGGAAUCUUCUUCCGGGAAGUGUUCCUGACUGAUGCGGUGGUGAAUGACGGUCUUAACUAUAAGGAUCUGAAAGUAGCGAAAUUCCUUGGCCAUUAAAUGUGGUCCUGCAUGAAUGAGGUAACGCGGCCCUGCUGUCUCCACUAGCUUCUCAGUGAAAUUGAAUUAGCCGUGCAGAUGCGGUUUGCCUUCCGGAGGACGCGAAGACCCUAUGCAGCUUUACUGUAUUCUGAUAUUGUUAUUCGUGAUAUAUAGUGUAGAAUACAAGGGAGUGUAACAUCCGUGAAAUACCUUGAUAUAUUGAAUGGAAUAACUUAUUUUUUCUAAAAAGACAGUAUCAGAUGGUCAGUUUUACUGGGGCGGUAGCCUCUAAGAAAGUAUCAGAGGCCUUCAAAGGUAUACUUACAUUGGUCAGAAACCAAUAGAUAAUUGUAUCUAUCAAAAUGUAAUGAUAAAAGUAUGCUUUACUGAAAGAUUGAUAGAUCGAUCAGUUACGCAAGUAGGAUAUAGUGAUCCGAUGAUUCAGAAUGGAAUGAUCAUCGCUCAAGAAAUAAAAGUUACGCUAGGGAUAACAGGUUUAUCGUUUGCGAGAGUUCACAUUGUCCAAACGGUUUGACACCUCGAUGUCGACUCUUCUCAUCCUCCAGGUGUAGUAGCUUGGAAGGGUUCAGCUGUUCGCUGAGUAAAGAGGAACGUGAGUUGGGUUUAAUACGACGUGAGUCAGUAUAGAUUCUAUCCUCGGAAGGGAACAAGAAUAGAAGAAGAACCUCUAAUUUGUACGAAAGGACCGUUAGAGAGAAUUCCAUGGUGUAUCUAUUGUUGUAGAAAUAUGGCACAGUAGAGUAGCUACAAUUCUAAAAGAUAAAUACUGAAAGCAUAUCAAGUGUGAAACAGAUCUUCUGAUAUUCUCAAAUAAGAAAAAGACUAUUUCUAGUCUAGGAUGUGAAUGUAUGUUAAACAUUUCUAAUGUAUUGAUCAAACUUA
rnacentral:rRNA from 1 species